CCUCUUGCCUCGUGUUGUGCUUUGCAUUCCCCAGCUGAAUCGGAUGCGUUAUGGAGUAAAAUGAGCUCAUACGCAGUAAUCCUGUAUUUGCUUGAUGAACAUAUUUGUUUACUCCAGGGUUCUCGCUCUGAAAGAAACCUGAUCAGAAUGGUGUCCAUUAGAGCCAGACUUGCUGUUUGUGUGCCUCUUCCUCAUCCAGAGGUCAUUCUGGAGGAGAGCUCAACGGGCCAGCCAGCACCGGGCCCAAUGCACUGCCAAGAUGGGAGCAGAGUAGGAGCGCUGCUAAUCUGAGAACUGGGGGAGGGGAUUAGGGUGCACUGUUAUUGUCUGUUUGAUGAGGGAUUAAAUUUGGUUAAUCCAGACCU